GCUCCUGCCUCUGGGCUCCUGCUCUGCUUGAGUUCCUGUCCCGACUUCCUCCAGGGAUGAACAGCAGUGCUGAAGUGUGAGCCUGAUAAACCCUUUCCUCCCCAGCUCGCUCUUCAGUCAGAACAACCCAAACUAAGACAAUCACGGAGGGAAGUCAGGGCAGGAUCUAAAGCAGAGACCACGGAGGAGGGCUGCUCACCAGCUUGCUCUCCCUGGCUUGCUCAACCCAGGACCAUCUGGUCAGGGCUGGCACCGGCCACAAGGGGCUGGGCCUUCCCACUUCAAUCAUUAAUCAGUAAAAUGCCCCCAUAGACUUGCCUACCGGCUCAUCUGUGACUACACCCCAACUCCCUGAGUGGUAUACUUUAAACGGGACCUGAAGCUCCUGUUAUCCACCGACCAUCCCCAAUCCUGAACCAAACAGGCCUUCGGGACCAAGACAACAGAUUGCACCUGACUAAUAUUCCGGCGAGAAAGAAUGUGGCCACACAUUCCUGGUGUUUCUAUAAGCUUCUUCUUGGAAGAAGAGAGAGCAGCAGAAGCAGACAGAGGGUUGCCCUCCCGGCUGAGGAACGGGAGCACAUGACCAUGCUGAGUGGCUCACAACCAGACCAGAACGACCAAACAAGACAAGCCCUUGCAUCCGCCAGUGACUCACAGUCUCCUGAUUAACACGUGAGGGCACUGCCUGAACUCUCCAGAUCAUGGCCAUCUCUCCACCCUGCGUCCCCAUCCCUCAUGCUUGGGACGGAGCCCGGAGCCUUGUGCCCACACCAGCAGAUAAGAGUGUGCCCUGUGGAAGGUCAGAGUGGGGAGCUGGGAGCAGCCUGGAUCCCAGGUUUUUGCAAGAGACAGCGAUGGGCCCACCGUGUAUUAGGUAUGGACUCUGCCAGUAACAGGAAAUGUGAGGACUCAGAGUCAUAUAAACCAUUAAAUGUACUACAGUCCACCUUUCCUACCGGAACGGCUACGAUGCCACCACACCCUGAGCCUAGGACCUCCCCCUUUCCCUCACAGCUAUCACUAUUGACAGGCACAGAUCUCUUUCUGGAAUUUCUCUCAGCUGAAGGGUUCACUAUCUCUCAAGACGCCUGCCUUCUGGAACAGCCUCAGCUGGGGUGUCCGUCACCCAUGUUUCCUCAGCUCUCAGAAGGGCACGGAUGGAUGGCAGGGGGCUGGUAGACAGCUUCUGGAUUUAGGAGCGUCUAUGCUUUCUCAUCCUCAAGGAAUGAUCUGACUCUGGGAGUGUAUAGAAAACUUAACAGAGAGGUGGCUCAGGGGUUAAGAGUGCUUCCUGCUCUUCCAGUCGACCUAGCUUUGUGUUUCAGCACACAUGUUGGGCAGCCUACGUACGUGUACCUAUAACUCCAACUCCAAGGGAUACAACACCCUCUUCUGGCCUCCCCAGGCACCUGCAGUCACGUGCACAUACCCACCUCUCAUGCACAUAAGUAAAAAAGUAAAUAUAUAUAAAAAAAAGCAAUGUUGACUUCAUGAGUAAUUAAAAAAAUACAGAGAGGUGUCGUCUGUGUGCACAGAGCUCUGGGAACUCACGCCCAAGCCAUUAGAGAGUCCCAAAUCCCAAGAGCAGCUGUCUUUCUGUUGGACUCUGUCCAAGACUCAGGGGGACACACAACACACUGAGUCCCAGGGCACAGAGCACACAGCGGCUCCAUCUGAAGAAGGCUCACUAAGUCUUAGGUUUCUGGAAGGGUGGUGGAAAUCAGGAGAUAACCAGACAAAACCGUGGAGAAGAUAGGGCUCGGAAAACCACACGAUGGUCCGAGUGUGUGGACUGCACCGCGCUCAGCUCUAGACAGGAGGGAAGUGUGAGUGGAGACACACUACAGUGCACUGGACACGGAGCUGAGAGGCUCAUGUCUCCCAGAAGCGUCGCCUGAUA